rnacentral:rRNA from 1 species
AUACGGAGGGGGUUAGCGUUGUUCGGAAUUACUGGGCGUAAAGCGCACGUAGGCGGAUUGGAAAGUUGGGGGUGAAAUCCCAGGGCUCAACCCUGGAACUGCCUCCAAAACUGACAGUCUAGAGUUCGAGAGAGGUGAGUGGAAUUCCAAGUGUAGAGGUGAAAUUCGUAGAUAUUCGGAGGAACACCAGUGGCGAAGGCGGCUCACUGGCUCGGUACUGACGCUGAGGUGCGAAAGCGUGGGGAGCAAACAGGAUUAGAAACCCUAGUAGUCC